AUUGAACGCUGGCGGCAGGCCUAACACAUGCAAGUAGAACGAGUGGCGGACGGGUGAGUAAUGUCUGGGAAACUGCCUGAUGGAGGGGGAUAACUACUGGAAACGGUAGCUAAUACCGCAUACCAUCGGAUGUGCACAGAUGGGAUUAGCUAGUAGGUGGGGUAAAGGCUCACCUAGGCGACGAUCCCUAGCUGGUCUGAGAGGAUGACCCGCCUCACUGGAACUGAGACACGGUCCCGCCUCCUACGUGAGGCUGCAGUGGGGAAGAUUGCACAAUGGGCGCAAGCCUGAUGCAGCCAUGCCGCGUGUAUGAAGACGGCCUUCGGGUUGUAAAGUACUUUCAGCGGGGAGGCGUUACCCGCAGAAGAAGCACCGGCUAACUCCGUGCCAGCAGCCGCGGUAAUUC
rnacentral:rRNA from 1 species